AACGAACGCUGGCGGCAUGCCUAACACAUGCAAGUCGAACGAGACCUUCGGGUCUAGUGGCGCACGGGUGCGUAACGCGUGGGAACCUGCCCUUAGGUUCGGAAUAACUCCCCGAAAGGGGUGCUAAUACCGGAUAAUGUCUUCGGACCAAAGAUUUAUCGCCUUUGGAUGGGCCCGCGUUGGAUUAGCUAGUUGGUAGGGUAAAGGCCUACCAAGGCGACGAUCCAUAGCUGGUCUGAGAGGAUGAUCAGCCACACUGGGACUGAGACACGGCCCAGACUCCUACGGGAGGCAGCAGUGGGGAAUAUUGGACAAUGGGCGAAAGCCUGAUCCAGCAAUGCCGCGUGAGUGAUGAAGGCCUUAGGGUUGUAAAGCUCUUUUACCCGGGAUGAUAAUGACAGUACCGGGAGAAUAAGCUCCGGCUAACUCCGUG
rnacentral:rRNA from 1 species